UACAGAGGUCUCAAGCGUUGUUCGGAUUCAUUGGGCGUAAAGGGUGUGUAGGUGGCGCCGUAAGUCGGGUGGUGAAAUUUCGGAGCUUAACUCCGAAACUGCAUUCGAUACUGCGGUGCUUGAGGACUGGAGAGGAGACUGGAAUUCAUGGUGUAGCAGUGAAAUGCGUAGAGAUCAUGAGGAAGACCAGUGGCGAAGGCGGGUCUCUGGACAGUUCCUGACACUGAGACACGAAGGCCAGGGGAGCAAACGGG
rnacentral:rRNA from 1 species